rnacentral:rRNA from 1 species
AUGAGUUGCUUUCAACUUCCUGUAGCCACUUGUGAGAAGUUUUGUCAAAUUAUUUCCGAUGAGUGGUGGGGUCGUGAAGAUGGCAAGCGGAAAAUACAUUGGCGUUCGUGGGAGUGGCUUACUACUCCAAAGUCACUCGGAGGAAUGGGUUUUCUGGACAUGGCUUUAUUCAACUUGGCAAUGCUUGCAAAGCAAGGCUGGAGGCUUUUAACGGACCCUUCGUCCCUCUGUGCUCAUGUCCUUAAGGGACGAUACUUUCCAAAUUCAGAUUUCUGGAAUGCAGAGGCUCCAAGAUCAGCAUCGGCUACGUGGCAAGCAAUUCUGGCCGGUCGG